GAGGGGGCUUUGAUAUUUUCUGUUCACGACUCCGUGUUACCAUCCUCCACAGCUAGGAUCUGGCGUCUGGGGUCACUGUCGACGUCACAAUCCCCGCACCUACGUGUCUCAGCCGCGGUAGCCCUACGUCGCUGUCAGACGCUGGGAGGUUGGUGCCCCGCCACGCUUUUCUGUCUUUUGUCUUUUCACCCUCUCCCUUCCCUACCCAGUGCCCCGUCUAAGUCCCCACUCGGAAGUGGAUUCUCACCCCUCACGGCCCUUUGUGGGCAACGCCAGGAGGAGGAAGGCCGCAACCUCCCACUGGCUUUGGGGUUUCUUAGACAUCAGUAGUCUUCUAAGGCCCUCCACCCUGCCCGCACCCCUCCUUCAUCCUCGCGUCUCUUAGGACCCUGCCCUGCUGCCCUCAGGCCUUUCCUUAGUCACAGACUCGGGAAGGCACCUGAACUCCCUCGGCUUGGACAUCACCGGCCACAGUCCUGUGACGCCCUGUGAUCUUCUGUCCCAGAUCUCAUUCCACUGGCUGUGCCUGUCAGGGUGUGCUUAGAUUUUGGUGUCCCAAUCCAAACUCCCUUCAUUCCAACUUCCACCAAGACCGCUUCUCUGGAUCCAUCCCUGGAGUUGACACAACAGGGAUCUUCAGCCCCAGAAAGCCCUUGGGACGUUCUCCUUGAAGCUCCCCUAAGUGGGAGUAGAAGUUCAUCUCCUGACACUCCACGUUUUAUUCAUGAGUCCUGAGUUAUGACACAGAGGACACAGUUGUGUUCCCCUUACUGUGGACUAGCAGAUAAAGCACCUUAAUCUCUCAGCCACCAUGCAAACCCUUCUUAUCUUUGAUUCAGUAUACUUUUCCACAAGCAAAAUAAAAGUUCUGACUAA